rnacentral:lncRNA from 1 species
CUCCAUGUAGAGCCUGAUCUUUGUCACCUUGGCCAUGCCAUUCAUGAAACUAUGGUGGAUCCACAGGAUGAAUCAUCUUAUCUAUCCAGAUGCCAGUGCUUCCUCCGCAGAAGAUGCUUUCUGGGGUCGAGGGGCCUUAACAUAAAUCCAAAGAUUGGUGUACUGGUGCCCAUUGCCAUAGGGCCAGAAGGCAAUAUGACCGGAGUCCUCACCAGAAGAGAUCGGGACUCUGACACACAUGAGGAAGGCUGUUUGAAGACAGGACAUCUCCAUGCCAAGGAAAAACCUCAGUAGAACCAAGCCUGCCGACACCCACUCUUGGACUUCUAGGCUGCAGAAAUGUGGGGAAAUACAUUUCUGUUGUUUAAGCCACUGUGUG